UACGAAGGGGGCUAGCGUUGUUCGGAAUCACUGGGCGUAAAGCGCACGUAGGCGGAUUUUUAAGUCAGGGGUGAAAUCCCGAGGCUCAACCUCGGAACUGCCUUUGAUACUGGAGAUCUUGAGUCCGGAAGAGGUAAGUGGAACUGCGAGUGUAGAGGUGAAAUUCGUAGAUAUUCGCAAGAACACCAGUGGCGAAGGCGGACUUACUGGUCCGGAACUGACGCUGAGGUGCGAAAGCGUGGGGAGCAAACAGG
rnacentral:rRNA from 1 species